ACAACAUAGUUACUCCAAGCCGGGAUGGUCCUAAAGGUUUCGCCCAUGGACACCGGCCAGAACAGAUAAUGUUCUCAGGGUAUGUUUGGAAACGAAUAUGCCUUCCGACUUUGAAAAGGAGUGAACGUGGGGGUUUA
rnacentral:ncRNA from 2 species